CCUACCCUCGAGACGGGGAUAACGGCUGGAAACAGUCGCUAAUACCCGAUAGACUUACCAGGUCGAAGCGGUAAGAAAAGCUACGGUGCUUGAGGAGGGGCCUGCGGCCCAUCAGCUAGUUGGUAGGGUAACGGCCUACCAAGGCGAAGACGGGUAGGGGGUGUGAGAGCACGAGCCCCCACAAUGGGACUGCGACACGGCCCAUACUCCUACGGGAGGCAGCAGCAGGGAAUAUUGCACAAUGGACGGAAGUCUGAUGCAGCGACGCCGCGUGAGUGAAGACGGCCUUCGGGUUGUAAAGCUCUUUUACGGGGGACGAGGAAGGACGGUACCCUGGGAAGAAGUGUCGGCUAACUACGUGCCAGCAGCCGCGGUAAGACGUAGGACACAAGCGUUAUCCGGAGUUACUGGGCGUAAAGCGCCUGCAGGCGGCCUGGUAAGUUGGACGUGAAAGCCCCCGUGCUUAACGCGGGGAGGUCGGACAAUACUGCCAAGCUAGAGUGCGUCAGAGGGGAGUGGAAUUUCCGGAGUAGCGGUAAAAUGCGCAGAUAUCGGAAGGAACACCAGUGGCGAAAGCGACUCCCUGGGGCGCGACUGACGCUAAGAGGCGAAAGCUAGGGGAGCGAACAGGAUUAGAGACCCUGGUAGUCCUAGCCCUAAACGAUGGAUGCUAGGUGUGGGACGUAAAGUUCCGUGCCGGAGCCAACGCGAUAAGCAUCCCGCCUGGGGACUACGGUCGCAAGGCUAAAACUCAAACGAAUUGACGGGGACCCGCACAAGCAGCGGAGCGUGUGGUUCAAUUCGAUGCUACACGAAGAACCUUACCUGGGUUUGACAUGUACGUGGUAGAGAAGCGAAAGCGGAUUGACCCUUCGGGGAGCGUACACAGGUGCUGCAUGGCUGUCGUCAGCUCGUGCCGUGAGGUGUCGGGUUAAGUCCCGUAACGAGCGCAACCCUUAUCCUUAGUUGCACGUAUCUAGGGAGACUGCCGGCGGGAAGCCGGAGGAAGGUGGGGAUGACGUCAAGUCAGCAUGGCCCUUAUGUCCAGGGCUACACACACGCUACAAUGGCCGGUACAAAGGGCAGCAAAGUCGCGAGGCGGAGCGAAUCCCAACAAAGCCGGUCGUAGUUCGGAUUGCAGGCUGCAACUCGCCUGCAUGAAGCUGGAGUUGCUAGUAACCGCGCGUCAGCUAUAGUGCGGUGAAUACGUACCCGGGUCUUGUACACACCGCCCGUCACGUCAUGGAAGUCGGUAACGCCUGAAGGCGGUAGCCUAGCUCGGAAGAGGGGGCGCUGUCGAAGGCGGGGCUGG
rnacentral:rRNA from 1 species